rnacentral:rRNA from 1 species
UACGUAGGUGGCAAGCGUUACUCGGAAUUACUAGGCGUAAAGCGCAGGUAGGUGGUUGGGUAAGUCCGCAAUGAAAGCUCCCGGCUUAACUGGGAGAGGUUUGUGGAUACUGCUUGACUCGAGUGUGGGAGAGGUGACUGGAAUUCCCGGUGUAGCGGUGAAAUGCGUAGAGAUCGGGAGGAACACCAACGGCGAAAGCAGGUCACUGGCCCAAUACUGACACUGAGCUGCGAAAGCUAGGGGAGCAAACAGGAUUAGAUACCCCAGUAGUCC